CGAAGAAAUACGAGAUGAUAAAGGCUUACAGAAAUGUUAAAGAAUAGAAGAAGAAUAAAGUGUAUUCAACAGAAUUGUUAUUGAAAUUCAAAAAGCUUCUAAUAAAACGCAAUUCAAAAUGAAAGACGAGCAGAUUCGCACUUAUAAAUUUACUUCGAAUAUCGAAAUCUGUAACUGUAGUCCCUCAGACAGUUGAUAGAUGGAAUAAUGGGAAUUUUUUUAGAUGUCGGUGCGUGUUUUCUUGGAUUGACAACAAUUAAUAAGCCGUUAAUGCGUUAUUAGACGUGUUCAAUCGAUGUUAAAUUAAGCGGAAGAAAAUCAGUUAUUUAAAUAGGAAAAAAAUUAAGCUUUUAUAUAAGAAAAGUUGAGCGUAUGGAAGAGAAAGUUUGUCUUUUAUGUAGGAAAAUAUAGAAAGCUUUUGUACACGCCGAAAACCUGAUGAGAUCGGAACCCACGCUUUACGAUAAACGUUUCCAGAAUAGGUUAAGAGGAUUAGAAGACAAGAUAAAUGUGUUUCUUCAGGUUAGAGCUUUCGAUACAUCACUUAAGGACAUGGGUUCAGACCUCAAUCGAAUACAAAACGUAUUACUUUUAUCUUUCGUUAGAUAAAGACACGGUUAAAG